ensembl:snRNA U4 U4 spliceosomal RNA
ACUUUCCUGAUGUGGCAGUAUCGUAGUCAAUGAGGUUUAGCUGAGAUGCGAUUAUUGCUAAUUGAAAACUUUUCCCAAUACCCCACCAUGACGGCUUGAAAUACAGUCGGUGUUGGCAAUUUUUGGCAGUCUCUACGGAGG